rnacentral:rRNA from 1 species
CCUACGGGAGGCAGCAGUGAGGAAUAUUGGUCAAUGGGCGUAAGCCUGAACCAGCCAAGUCGCGUGAGGGAUGAAGGUUCUAUGGAUCGUAAACCUCUUUUAUAAGGGAAUAAAGUGUGGGACGUGUCCUGUUUUGUAUGUACCUUAUGAAUAAGGAUCGGCUAACUCCGUGCCAGCAGCCGCGGUAAUACGGAUGAUCCGAGCGUUAUCCGGAUUUAUUGGGUUUAAAGGGUGCGUAGGCGGCCUUUUAAGUCAGCGGUGAAAGUCUGUGGCUCAACCAUAGAAUUGCCGUUGAAACUGGGAGGCUUGAGUAGGUUUGAGGCAGGCGGAAUGCGUGGUGUAGCGGUGAAAUGCUUAGAUAUCACGCAGAACCCCGAUUGCGAAGGCAGCCUGCCAAGCCAUGACUGACGCUGAUGCACGAAAGCGUGGGGAUCAAACAGGAUUAGAUACCCCAGUAGUC